GCCACCAGGUUCACACUGUCCAAAAAAAAUAACCCUCUCAGGGUCUUCAGAGUAAAAUCCCUCCCCCGACCCCUCACUAAAUCCAUGAGAAUAACUUAAUGUUAAAAAAGGGCUUCUCAUUGUUCUUUGAAAGUGUUACACGUUGAAUUUCUUAAAAUGUCUUUUAGACUUUGUCCAAAAAGCUGCUUAUUUUGGGAGGGAGGAGGGGAAACCCCGCUCAUAAAUACAAUAACAUAUCUUUAUCAGACCCAGAGUCCUCGCUUCAAGUUGCAAGGGUUAAUUUCCCUUUCUGUUUUCAGCUUCUAAAUGUUUCGCCCGUAAACAAUCCGCUCUGGGACAUUGAAACAUCUAGCCGUGGCUACUUUUGAGUUAGAAAAUCAGAAAAAGACACUAUUUGUUUUAAAAACUAAAAUCACAGAAUCAAAAUCUGAUUCCUGCCAACGACACAGCUCCGACGGACACCCUCUCAGACAUCGGAAAAUGAUUUCAGAUCUCAAGCUGGGCACCCACAGGUAUAUAUAUACACACAUUAAAAAUCCAGUGUUUCAGAACACAUACAAUCUAAAACAAAAAGAUCUUUGGUGGAAGUCAUCACCCAGGCGAUGAAAAAGAAGAACUAUGAAUUCGGGAAUGGGCAGUUUGGGAAUUUAAUUAUGAAUCGCCUGUGCUAAAUAAAAAUCAUCGCCAAAUGCUGAGUUUUCAUUUGGUGUUUGGAGUUCCAAACAGGCGGACAGUUGAGUAUUAGGAGUUUUUAUUCUCCUUGUCUAAUUGUAUCUUCGGGAUACUGGGAGUUGGUUGAGUUGUUGUUUUAAGAUGCAGUGUGCUGCCUGUCUCCCCACACGGCGAACUGCAAUGGGGUUGGGGGUUGGGGGAGUCAUCCUUGACUCCGAGCAAUGAACAGUAGGGCAGAUGUCCACUCGCUUCUCCGUCCCACCGUUCUUCUGCUCUUUGAUGUACCACCACAGGUUCUCUCCACCCUGGGGUCAAUCUGCAAUCUGAGGCUGUUGCUGACUAUCCAGGAAAAGGGAGCUGGGGAGGGAUGGGGGUGGCAGGAAUCUGACCAUUAGGAGGAAAGGGGGAGACAGCUACAGAAGGAGUAAAGAUGAUCAAAGUCAUUAGUUCAGGAAUAAUCGGCCAAUUCUUAAACAUUUCACCCUUUUUUUAACAUAUAUGGCCAAAGUACAAAUCCAUAAAGGAUCGCUUUCUUCCUGAUCAGUUUAAAACACUGACCUAAUUGUACCCUCCCUCGUAGCCAUCAAAAAAUCAUCGCCACAAAGUUAGAUUCACCGUAAAUGCUCUUCUAAAUAAAUUGACAAUCACACGCCUCGCGAAAUGACGGCACAAACCCACCACAGUCUAUUUUGUUUUGGAUGUGAGAGCUGUUUGCAAGAUCCUUCCCUCGUUAUUUGUCUAUUUGCGAGUUGCUUUUUCGAGAGACGACUCCUUUUACGAAACGCAUCAGACAACUUCUCCGCCCCGACCUCCCCCAGUUAUUUUACCCUCCCUCAUUAACCGUGAGUAACUUGCGAACACAACGAAUUAAACUGAGCGGGGCUUGUUAAGUACCAUGGAACGACCAGUUUAAGCUUGAGGGAAUGUCGCCAGAAGGACUUGAACCCGCGGGAAUUUCUAUAGAAUGACCUGUUCAGAAACGGUCAGGGAGGACUGACUGGGGAUUUACGCCAGUCUCAAUGUGCCUUCUCACUGGCGCCGUCUACAGGCCAUCGGCGCAGCAACAGCAAACCCCGACUAACGCAAAUAUUUUACAGCAUAAGCAAAACGGGAUUUGCCACGGCCCGCCGAUCUGUUUCAGUGGGAUAUUUGUUAAACUCGUCCUAAGGGGCUCCUUGGGUACAAGUUGCAAAGGGUGAGUAACAAGUUCUGCAGGAGGCAUCGUAUUCUCUCAGACUUUUCUCCCGAUCCAUGCUGUUCACGUGCAGGCGGCUGUCUCCCUGCCUCACACUGAGACGUUUCCACAGAAGUUUGAACGUCGCAUCCAAACCAUAUGCAACAUUAGUGAUUUUGUUUUUAAAAAAACGGGUCUCUCUUGUGGAACAGUUGUCUUUUGCAUGUACUCGGGAAUGGUAUUUAUUGCGGUGAGGUAACCUAAUCACCCAACCCCUUUUUAACAUUUGUUAAAAGCUCCUAGCGUCAGUUUUUUUCCCCCAAACGGACCUGUUAGUGUAAAAUCCUGUGCAAAUGGUAAUCGAGUAUACGCUAAUCGGCGAAACUCCUUCGCUGUUUAUUUGCUCUGCAUUGUGCAUUAUAAUCGUAAAGAUUUUUGUUUAGAACCCUGUGUGAUCUCUAACAAUAAAUCUAAACCAGUCGCCGAAAUAUAAAUUGUUUAGAAGUUUUUGUUUAGCUCUUCCAACAUCUACACUGAAAGAAAAACGAGAACCUGGGAGUGUAACUGGGCUGUUGAAUGUUUAAUAGAUUAUAUGCUCGUGUCUCCAAAGUGAUAGUGAUACUUAACUCCUUUAGGGUUAGUAAUAAAGAGACUUAGAAGAAUUUAUACCAAAGUGUGAAUUUGCACGGUAUAAACACGCCCGAUGUUUUCAAAUGCAUGCACAUGAGUUAUUAUAUACUUAAUCUUUUAGGUGUCUGGUUAUUUGUAUCUUGUUAAAAUGAUUCAUUUCAGAAUAGUGAAAAGAUUCUAAUUUUUCACAAUCAACAGUUGUACAAAUAUAUUUAUAUAGUAAAGUACAUUAAUUUACGCAUACAACAUUCGCGUGUUGAAUGUUACUCUCAAAUAUAUUCAUUUUUCUCUUACUCAAUAAAAUAAUUAAAACUGUCACAAAUUAAUUGAAUCCCAGCAUUAAAUGUUUUAAGUUAACAUAUUCAAGUUGAGGUCAUCCAAAUCAUUUGUAAACAUGAAUACAUAUUUACAAAUAUUUCUGCACUCAAACUUACUUGCAUAAAACAUUUCAAAUGCACGUCAAAAGAUAAUAAGGUAGAUAAACACAAACAAUUAAAAGCUGAAAAUGUGUACUUCAUUCCUGGAAUUGUGCUGUCAAUCAACCAACAUGUAUUACAGCUGUCCCUGACAUUUAUAAGUAUGAAAACUCACAAUGUUCAAUGUUGAAAAGCGCACUUUUCUACUUUAUAAGAAGAAUUUAGGCUUUCGUAAACUGUUGGAAUAUUUUCUUUGGACUGGAGGUCUGGACUAUGAAGCAAUUGCUGAGCAAAAUACUAACAAGAUGUUAUGUUUAAAACAAGUCUUGUAAAAGUCAAAAUGAAAUCCAUGCCAAGCUUGGUCAUCUUUAUACUAUACAGCAUUAAAAUCUGUUCUCAAAACA